rnacentral:tmRNA from 1 species
GGGGCUGAUUCUGGAUUCGACGGGAUUUGCGAAACCCAAGGUGCAUGCCGAGGGGCGGUUUGCCUCGUUAAAAGCCGCAAAAAAUAGUCGCAAACGACGAAAACUACGCUUUAGCAGCUUAAUAACCUGCUCUGAGCCCUCUCUCCCUAGCUUCCGCUCUUAAGACGGCUAGUUCGUUAGUGGCGUGUCUGUCCGCAGCUGGCGUGCGAAUGUAAAGACAAACUAAGCAUGUAGUACCGAGGAUGUAGAAAUUUCGGACGCGGGUUCAACUCCCGCCAGCUCCACCA